UGGCUCAGAGUGAACGCUGGCGGGCGUGCUUAACACAUGCAAGUCGAACGAGAACGGAUUAUAGCUUGCUAUAAUUGUCAGCUAAGUGGCGCACGGGUGAGUAAUGUAUAGGUAAUAUGCCUCUUACUAAGGGAUAACAAAUGGAAACGUUUGCUAAUACCUUAUACUCCUUAUUAACAGAAGUUAAUAAGGGAAAGAUUUAUUGGUAAGAGAUUAGCCUGUAUUGUAUCAGUUAGUUGGUGGGGUAAUGGCUUACCAAGACUAUGACACAUAACUGGUUUGAGAGGAUGAUCAGUCACACUGGAACUGAGACACGGUCCAGACUCCUACGGGAGGCAGCAGUGGGGAAUAUUGCACAAUGGACGAAAGUCUGAUGCAGCAACGCCGCGUGGAGGAUGACACAUUUCGGUGCGUAAACUCCUUUUAUAUGAGAAGAUAAUGACGGUAUUAUAUGAAUAAGCACCGGCUAACUCCGUG
rnacentral:rRNA from 1 species